GCUCUGUGCUGUUUUUGUUUUGUAACCUCGAUGGAGAAGCCGGCAGGAAAAGCUCCGUGGAAAUAAGGUUAAACCCGAGAAGGGCUGAGGCGGCCAAACGAUGACUAACUAGACUUUGGAGCCUCUGUUUCAGGAUCACACUGAAAAUUAAAGCCAGCCUCCCACCCACUCGCCCUCCCCAAAAAAAGACACCCCCGCCUCGAGAGUGAAUUAAGGCCAGAGUUUACAAAGCUUGGGUGGUUUUACCAAUUACAGGACUUAAAAUGAAUAAACAAGGAAAAAAGCGUCAUUCUAAGAAGGCAGCAACCUUAUGACUUUUUUUUUUCUUCUGUGGUUUGCCGACUGCUCGGCACCUAUGAGAACACACAUCUAAAACGGCAGAGGGGGGGAAACAUGGUCCUAGGGGAAACCACCAGCCUGGAAGCUAGUCUGCAACUUGCUGGAGCGCAGUUCCUUCCCUGGGCCUGGCUGGAGAUGAAUCAGCUGCUGCGCCCCAGUGCGGGACAGAUGUGGGGCGGGGAGCGAGCGGGAGGCCGCCCGUUAGAGGGCCGCGGCGUCCUAGCAUUUGAAGGAUUGUUUGUUGCUGGGAUUGGUGGCUCGGAUCCGUUGGUGAACUGGAGAGGAGGGAGGAGAGACGCAGGGAGGAGGAGUCGGGGGCCGGCCGACGCUGCGACUCCGCGGUCUGAGUGGCAGGAGCCUCGUCUGGAAGCGGGCGGUUACUGGGGAGACGCUUUGUUUGCUAACUUCGAAAGCUGCUUCGGCUGCCUCGGCGGCUUUCGAAGCCACUCAACAAAACACGCCUUCGGGUCGGCUUAACCCUCCCCCUGCCCGCUUACAGAAGCCCGACACAAAAAUGUUUCCGUCUGCGUGCUUAUCCUUGGCCACGCGGUGGCUCUCAUUAGGUACACAAAGGUAUCUUUUUCCUCGUCGAAGUGAACUUGGCUAAUUACUGCGAUUCUCAGGCAACCGGGAUGGAAACCGAGAGUUGAAGCGACUUUAUAGGCACACAUAGUUCCAUUUGGUGUCAUCUUUUGAAGCUGCCUCAAGGCCAAGAAAAGACACAGAGUUGUGAUCCUCUGAGAAGGUGGAAAAGAAGCCGAAAGACAAUUCAAUGGCAAGAGUGCUGGAAAGUGGAGAAAGAGCAUAGACCACAAAGUUGAAGUAUUCAUGGAAGACAGAAGAGUUUGCAGGGACAAAAAAAAACUCUUGGAACCCAGCUACCCCUCCGAACCCAGAGACCGCUCUGUAAAAAGCACAGGCCACGUGGGAAGGCCACCUGAAGGUGCUACAGUCAACAGACCCAGCUAAACUUCCAGCCCCCAGCAAGCGCCCAAGAGUGAGCCAUCUGAAUGACACAGCCCUCGGGGAAAGCUCAGAGGAAUCCGAGUCAGAUCACCUCUCACAGAGCAGAAGCCUGACCCAGCAGAGCCCAGUCAACCCACAGAAUCACUGGAAAUUGUACAACCGUAUGCGAUUCAAACAAAUCUGCAUUUCUGUAAAUGACAAAGCCAAAAGAGAUAUGGAGCCCUCCUUAACUCUCCAACUCUAUUCAAGAUAAAAGCAUUCCCCGGCUAAAAUAACAAUACAGGAAGGAAAAGAUUGUAACCCGCAAGGACUAAAGGUACAGGAUGGGAGGCAGACAACAGAUAUCCAGGAAUGUUCACAAUGGGGGAAACUUAUAAAGGAGUUUUCACUACCUUAGCGAAAAAGCUGGGUCCGCUCCCAGUUUUUGGCACAGCAAGAUGUCAAGGAGAAGUAAGAUGAUUCUGUCUAGAGAAACUGAGAGGAUCAGGACUCAUAGGCACCAGGUAAGGUCCUAUAGAAUACAGGUAUCAUAUGCAGAGCCCGGGAAAUGUACACCUUUUAUCUUGGGAAGUGAUCCCAGUGGUGGGAGGCACUGAAAAGAGUGAAAUAGGGUGACAAUUGCAUUUUCACUGUGCUGGGAAAUUGGAGUUUAAUCUUGCUGCAACGUCUUUGAGGAGCCAUAUAUAAUUCACCUCAGAAUUGUUCACUGGAAGGAUAGAAGAAGAGAAUAUUCAUCACUAAGCUCCCCACCCCAAUGUCCAAGGUUGUCCUGUGGCAUGCUACGUCUCUGUACUUCCAAUUUGCAUGGGUUUCCCAAUGGCCAGGCAGCAACUCGCUGGUGGCUGCAGAUAUUGAAGCACUUAUGAGCAAAAAUCAUGAUGUAUUCAUAAUCCUGAAGAUCCCUCUGGCCUUAAAAUUCCAUGACCCCAGUUAUAUCUUCCCACUGACCAUCCAACCACACCAAAUGGUAACCCAGGUCAAAUGUUUGCACUUUAAAACAGUUUCCUUAGGAAAUCUAAAACAUGGAACUUACAAUGAUUCCUUUUCCAAUGUAUUUUUACCAAAAGAAUAAUCUCUGGGAAGAAAAUCUAAUGGUGUUACUUUUCUAUUUCAUGUAGUCAAAAAUACCUAGAGUUUGAAGUACUAGAAAAUAAGUUAUGAGUCUGAAUAUAGACUCUUACCAGACUGGGUAACAGCAAAGACAAUUUAAGCAAAAACACAAAUAAAUGAAACAUAUGGUAAGGACCCUUUUAAUGCAAUUUCCCCAAAACUUUUUAUGUUGAAUGCUUUUAAACUUACAGAAAAGUUAGAAGAAUAUUUCUGUGUGUGUGUGUGUGUGUGUGUGUGUGUGUGUGUGUGUUUGUGUGUGUUUAAGUAAUUUCUACACCCAGUGUGGGGCUCAAACUUAAUGCCAUCAGUCAAGAUCAAGAAUCUGAGUGCUGUACGGCCUGUGCCAGCCAGGCGCCCGUCCAAAACCUGCAGGGAUAGCUCAAAGAUCUCCCUGGUACCCAUUCCCUUGAUUCACGAAUGCCUAACAUUUGGCCACUACUGCUUCCUCUCUCUUUCUCUUUCUCCGUCUGUCUCUCUGGAUCAUUUCUCUGAAUCAUUUGAAAGUAACUCGCAGACAUCACUGCACUAUAUUCCUAACCACUUCAUCCCUAACUCCUAAGAAAAAGGACCUUUUCCUGCAUAUACCAUGAUCAUAUACAAGAAGUUUAACAUUGGUAUAAUAUUAUCUAAUAAUCAUUUACGAUGAAAAUAUUCAAAAUAACAGCAGUAGAGGAGGAGAAAAUAUCUUCUUCUACCCAUCUUAGGUUCCCCAGCUGGGACCCAGUAAAUUAGACUGGCCAAAGACAGAUCAACAAAAGAACAAAGAGAAAUUUGUUAACAUGUAUGCUGCUCGUGUCUGCAUGGAAGCACCUACCAUGAGCAGUCCAGAAGGGUGAUUAAAACUCAGGCUCAUGUACCAUCUUAGGCUAAAAAAGGAAAAGUGGCUUUGGCUUUUGGGCAGGGAAGGCAAGUUGUGAGAAGGUUACCUUAAACUAUGGUAAACUAGGGUUGUUUAGUAAGGUUUGUGAUGCAGAUUUAGGUCAGCACUUUCUCCUUGGAUAAGAAUUGGAAGAGACUUCCUCUUCUUGCUAUGGGAAGGGAGAGGGAUCUUUACAAAUGGAAAUUUCCAUUUCUUUUACAGAAGGAAAACUUGUGCCUCAUUUUUCAAGCUUUUCCUGCCUCUGCUAUUAGCUGAAAGGAUCCACCCCAAUAUAUGCCUCUGUUGGCCUCUAUUGUGACAGAGUCACAGCCAAAAAUCCUAUUUCCCCAAUUGUUCCAAAAACACUCUUUUUUUUUUUUUAAUUUUUUUUUUUUUUUAACAUUUUUAUUUAUUUUUGAGACAGGGAGAGACAGAGCAUGAACAGGGGAGGGUCAGAGAGAGGGAGACACAGAAUCUGAAACAGGCUCCAGGCUCUGAGCCGUCAGCACAGAGCCCGACGUGGGGCUUGAACUCACGGACUGUGAGAUCAUGACCUGAGCCGAAGUCGGCCGCUUAACCGACUGAGCCACCCAGGCGCCCCCAAAAACACUCUUUAUAGAUUUUUUUUUUCCUCUUUUUAAUCCAUGACCCAAUCUAACAUCAUGUACUGCUUUUAAUGGUCAUGUAGCUUUUGUUUCCCUUAAUCUUGGUGUACUGCCUUUUCCCCUCCUUUUUUUUUAAAGUUUAUUUAUUUAUUUUGAGAGAGAGCCUACAUGGUACACACACAAGUGGGGGAGGGGCAAAAAGCGAGAGGGAGAGAGAGAAUCCAAAGUAAGAUACAACAUGUAGAGUUCAGGCCUAUUGUUUUAUACGAUGCAUCAGAAUUAAACUAAGAUUAAUCACUUCAACUGAAGUGUUGGGUGUUCAGCAUCUUUUAGUGGACUCCUAUGUUUUUUUGACUUGUUCCGAUGCACCUUUAUUUGUUUUUUAAGUUUAUUUAUUUAUGUUGACAGAGAGCACACAAGC